CUGCCCCAACAUCAAAAUGUCUUUGCGACGAAGAACCAACUUUCUGCUCUUCAAGCUUUGCUAUCAAAGGAACGGUUGUGAGUAUUCUCGGCAAUCGUUCACUGAACGAAGAUCUGCAAUACAACGUACGGGUACAAGAAGUAUAUCGUAAUUCAACCCAAGCCAUUCGUGUCAAUGAGAUUCUUGAACUCCAAAGUCCCGCUAGCUCAUGCGGUAUCGGUUCGUUAGAGACAGGGUCGUCAUAUCUGAUUUCUGGAGGAUCCACGAGUUCGUUCUCGAUUGACGUAUGUACAUCGGUCGUGCUGGAGGUCAACGAUGUCGGUGAUGCGAGUGUCGAUAUCGACCUUCCGUGUUCUGCAUCCGUGUCGACCAUCACGUCGUACGUCAUCAUCGUCGGUGUCCUUCUGAGUGUCGUUUUUCAUUGGUGAUAAGGACCAUGAGAAAUGAAGACAGCAUAUUGUUGGGUUAUUUGAGACGGUAUGUGUAGGCUGGUUCUAGGACAACUACCCCCUGGAUAUCAAC